rnacentral:rRNA from 1 species
AUGAACGCUGGCGGCGUGCUUAACACAUGCAAGUCGAACGAAGCAUUUAGGACAGAUUACUUCGGUUUGAAGUUCUUUAUGACUGAGUGGCGGACGGGUGAGUAACGCGUGGGUAACCUGCCUUGUACUGGGGGAUAGCAGCUGGAAACGGCUGGUAAUACCGCAUAAGCGCACAAUGUUGCAUGACAUGGUGUGAAAAACUCCGGUGGUAUAAGAUGGAUCCGCGUCUGAUUAGCUAGUUGGUGAGAUAACAGCCCACCAAGGCGACGAUCAGUAGCCGACCUGGGAGGGUGACCGGCCACAUUGGGACUGAGACACGGCCCAGACUCCUACGGGAGGGAGCAGUGGGGAAUAUUGCAGAAUGGAGGAAACUCUGAUGAAGCGACGCCGCGUGAGUGAAGAAGUAAUUCGUUAUGUAAAGCUCUAUCAGAAGAGAAGAUAGUGACGGUACCUGACAAAGAAGCUCCGGCUAAAUACGUG